GAUGAACGCUGGCGGCGUGCCUAAUACAUGCAAGUCGAGCGGACAGAUGAGGAGCUUGCUCCUCUGACGUUAGCGGCGGACGGGUGAGUAACACGUGGAUAACCUACCUAUAAGACUGGGAUAACUUCGGGAAACCGGAGCUAAUACCGGAUAAUAUAUUGAACCGCAUGGUUCAAUAGUGAAAGACGGUUUUGCUGUCACUUGUAGAUGGAUCCGCGCCGCAUUAGCUAGUUGGUAAGGUAAAGGCUUACCAAGGCAACGAUGCGUAGCCGACCUGAGAGGGUGAUCGGCCACACUGGAACUGAGACACGGUCCAGACUCCUACGAGAGGCAGCAGUAGGGAAUCUUCCGCAAUGGGCGAAAGCCUGACGGAGCAACGCCGCGUGAGUGAUGAAGGUCUUCGGAUCGUAAAACUCUGUUAUUAGGGAAGAACAAAUGUGUAAGUAACUAUGCACGUCUUGACGGUACCUAAUCAGAAAGCCACGGCUAACUACGUG
rnacentral:rRNA from 1 species